GACGAACGCUGGCGGCGUGCCUAAUACAUGCAAGUAGAACGCAGUUGCGAACGGGUGAGUAACGCGUAGGUAACCUGCCUCAUAGCGGGGGAUAACUAUUGGAAACGAUAGCUAAUACCGCAUUCUGUGAUAUGUACCUGCGUUGUAUUAGGGAGUGGGUGAGGUAAAGGGUCACAAAGGCGACGAUACAUAGCCGACCUGAGAGGGUGGUCAGCAAGACGGGGACGGGGACACGGCCCAGACUCCUACGGGAGGCAGCAGUAAGGAAUCGUAGGCAAUGGACUGAAGUCUGACCGAGAAACGACGCGGGAGUGAAGAAGGUUUUUGGAUCGUAAAACUCUGUUGUUAGGGAAGCGGUAAAUAACCAGAAAGGGACGGCUAACUACGUGCCAGCAGCCGCGGUAAUAC
rnacentral:rRNA from 1 species